rnacentral:lncRNA from 1 species
CUUACAUAUCCUUCCAUGACUUUGUUUUUGUUUUGUGCUUUUGUAACAGUUUUUGUUUUGUUUUUAAUCUGAGAACAAAAAGAAGCCCCAGAAUGAACCAGCCCCAGAAUACCAUUUAUAGCGGGUAACUGUAGUGAGCUCUGUGGGGAAGUGGAGAAUAGACCUGAACUAUUGUUCACAGAAUCACAGAAUUGUAGGGGUUGCAAGGGACCUCGAAAGAUCAUUGGGUCCAACCCCCGAACAACAGAACAGAAUAAUGUGUUACAUCCUUAGCAAACAUGAUUCAUGCAUAUGCUGUCUUCUUUUUGAGUAGAUCCUGUGAGUCAUUGCUGUCCUUUCUGCUAAUGCUAAUGGAUUUUUUCAUGGACAUGGAAGUAUAUAUUAGUUUACAGAUUUCAUCCAGUCAACAAAAGUACGUGGCUCCCUACAUGUAAUGGUCAGACAUGUUCUCCUCUCCAUCUGUGAAAAUAAUUUUGAGACUGAAAACUCUUCCAAGAGAUCCUUUUCUCAUUAAUGGACUGACCUGGUAGACAACUGAGAGUGAUCUUUUACUCCAUUUCCAAGUAAGUAUGGGGUGAGUGCUGACAAAGGGUGAAAUGAAUUUGAACACAUUUCACCCUUGCAUGAGAAUGCAUGAGAAGUAGGGUAGGUGGACAGGUAGUGAGGGGAGAGAGGCAAACCUCUCUGUGCUGUGAUAACUGCAUUAAAAAAGUAAUGUUAUGUACCAUUUUCAUUAUGUGCUCUCUAUUUCUUUUUGCUCAUGCUCAUCUUUGAUUGCAUCUAGUCUGGAGACAGGCAUUGGUUUGCUAACAUCAAGAUUUCAUAUUUUUGCCUUGUGAUCAGAUCCCUCAGGAUUUUUUCCUGUACUCCCCUCCUCUUUCUCCCAAAUUUUGAUAGACAAUUACCAGAAUAUUCUUCUUCAAGGGUAGUGUUGCAUCAGAAUACAAAAAUUCACAUGAAAAUGUUGAUCUCUUUUGCACCAUGCUUCAUACAACUGCACGCUUCAGUAGUGAACCCAAAGUAAUUUCUGAAAACAAAACAAAACAACAACAACAACAAACAAAAACAAAACCACCAUAAUUUACCAUGAGGCAUGACAAGAAAUUCUGUCUCUCAUACUUUGUUUGCAUCUGGAUUUUGAUAGCAGUAUAAUUUGUUGGUAAGUGUAGAACUUUUGUCUUUGAAUCCGUGCCAUGAUACAGUUCCUUAUGUCAGGUUUACACUGAUGAUGUGGACCCUCUUUGUACUGAAUGAUGCUGACAGGAAUAGAUGACCAAACAUUAUACAAGGAUUGAUUUAUGGCUGUCCUAUAAAGACUGCCACGGCCAAUUUUAAGAUGCAUCUUUCUACUUGUAUCAUAUGGAAAAGAGAAUCUGGGGAAAAGAUCAGGGCAAAACAGGUGUGAGUCCUUCUGUGCUUGAACU